AAGGUUGUAGCUCAGUGGUAGAGCGCUUGCCUACUAAGCAGAGGCUCUGGGUUCAAGCCCCAAAUAUCAUA
rnacentral:tRNA from 1 species